rnacentral:lncRNA from 1 species
CAUUCAAUAUACCUCCGUACCACACUGAUGCUCUUUUCUCAUGCAUGAAAUGCCUUCCUUGCCUUAUCCUUCUGAAUAACUUCCAACCAGAUCCUUCAAAAGGCAUCAUCUUAUCCAGAGUGCUGGCAUCAGCCCACAUUUCCCUGGCAGAGGCAAAGGUACUAUGGCAGAAAUGGCCAGGGAAGGGUUUAUCUAACCACCAGGAGUACGCAAAGAAGAGAGGUCCAGCCAGCCUGCCUCUCAGAUUGUUAAGAUGCCAGGUGUCUUUUGGCUCAUGGAAACAGCUGUUCUGCCCCCUCCCGAACCCUAGACUCACAGCUACACUCUAUGGGUGGGACCAAAAUGCAAUUGCAUAUUUCUUUAUAAGCAGGAGAUUUCACAAAGAAAAGGAGAAGGCAAGAACCACAGAGGCAAAGAUUGGAGAGAUGUGGCUGCAAGUCAGGCAGUAUCUAGCUGCCACUAGAUACUGGAAGAGUCAAGGAAUGGACUCUCCCUGGAGACUCCAGAGAAAACCUAGCCCUUCUG